CUUUCGGAGCUGUGCGGCAUUCUGAGCAGGAAUGGCAGUGUGGACCUCUGUGAUGGGACAUCUUGUGGGAUCUCACAGCCAGUUCUGUGGCAAAGGAGGAUGAAGGCUUACGAGGACUCGUCAGGAAGCUGGAUAACAGAGCGAGCGCAAUGUGCUAGAAUAGAAGACCAGAAAAUGAAAUGGUGGAGUUUGAGGCUGGAUAGACAGUUUGAAAGUUAACUGGUUGCAUGCUUGUUCAUUUGGCUGGCUUGCUUGGGUACAAAUAAUGGUUUGAAUAAAGAAAGGUAAGCAUUGUAUUAAUGGGUCACCUCAAGUGAAGGCACUGCAAACACAAUGAUUGGUCAUUCUGAAUUUCCGGUCCUUCAUUCUGAAUUUCAAAGGCUCCUGUGACAAGUGGACAUGCAGUGACUGCACCUUUGUUUCUGAGGUGCCUGGAUGGAGGCUCAAAUAGAAGAUGGUGUCAGAUAUAUUGUGUUAAAAUUUUACCAUUAAAGUGUAUUAUAACAUGAA
rnacentral:lncRNA from 1 species